rnacentral:rRNA from 1 species
UACGAAGGGGGCUAGCGUUGUUCGGAAUUACUGGGCGUAAAGCGCACGUAGGCGGGUAUUUAAGUCAGGGGUGAAAUCCCAGAGCUCAACUCUGGAACUGCCUUUGAUACUGGGUACCUAGAGUAUGGAAGAGGUGAGUGGAAUUCCUAGUGUAGAGGUGAAAUUCGUAGAUAUUAGGAAGAACACCGGUGGCGAAGGCGGCCCACUGGUCCGGUACUGACGCUGAGGUGCGAAAGCGUGGGGAGCAAACAGG